ensembl:misc_RNA Y_RNA Y RNA
GUCUGGUCCAAAGGUAGUGAGUUAUCUCAAUUGAUUGUUCAGUCAGUUUCAUGUCAAACUUUUUGUUCUGUGCUUUUCCACACCUUCUCACUACAGCACUUGAAAAAAUUUUU